AUCUAAAAUCCGCUUGUAAUUCCUGUAGAUUUAUUGUCUGCAGCUUUCUCAAGCCCUCCCCUUCUAAUCCCGCCCAGACUUUCUGUGUCUGUCCAAUCACAGAAUUCCCAAUGCAGCUCAAUGUAAAGUCUUUGCAAGGCAGGUGCUCUGGGCAAUUGCUGCCUCUUGAGUUAAUCUCCAUUUAGCUAACCAAACCAGGAAGUAACAGGACUUUACACAAUUGACUAAAACUUUGAACUAAGAACUGAGUUUCUUCACGUGAUGCUCUGUUUCCUUUUAAUUUUAUAUUAAAGAUUCAACAAAUGACAUGAUAAUCCAGUUCAGAAGAGGCACAGCCAGGGCGCUCAUAUCAGAUGAGGAUACAGAAUAGAAUCAGUGUUCCAUGUCUCCUCCUUUCUGUCUGCUCUCUCUGUGCUGAUUGCCAGGUGUAAAGGACAGCGCUUAUAACAAUAUGACAAUAGAGAGCUAAAAACAUCACGUUUACCUAGGGUAUCCCAGGGCCCUGACUUUGGUUGUGUUUCAAGGUUUCUCAGGUUAAUCCAUCCCAGCUCCAGGUUCUGGACCUGCAGAAUGCCCUUUUCUGUGCCCAGAAUGAACUCCAAGCCUUGCAGCACUCUCUGAGGCAGAAGGAUCGACAGGUAACAGACGCCAAGCGUUCUCAGCGUUUAUUGGAAGCUGACCUUCUGGCAGGACAGAGGCAGAAGGAAACGUCAUGGAAACACAAUCAGG